UACGGAGGAUGCAAGCGUUAUCCGGAUUCAUUGGGUUUAAAGGGUGCGUAGGCGGCUUUUUAAGUCAGUGGUGAAAUCCUGCCGCUUAACGGUAGAAUUGCCAUUGAUACUGAUAAGCUUGAGUACAAUUGAGGUAAGCGGAAUGUGUAGUGUAGCGGUGAAAUGCUUAGAUAUUACACAGAACACCGAUUGCGAAGGCAGCUUACUAAACUGUUACUGACGCUGAUGCACGAAAGCGUGGGGAGCGAACAGG
rnacentral:rRNA from 1 species